UCGGCGUGUCCACCCGGAGGAGCCUCGCUAGCCCCGCCCAUUCCCGGGAGUGCGGGUGCGGGUGACUGUACAGGAAGAUGACUUCAGCCACGGAAUGGAACGGAGGAUGAGAAACCAGAGCCUAGAAGAUCAGCCAGAGGGCAAGUAUCAAAAUCCAAGUGAAAGGAUGAAGACCUGGCCUAAAACAGUGAUGACGGUGACGGAGUAACCUUGCCAUCUGCCGUCCUUCAUAUGAUGUUACUAAGCAAGUCUCUGGUCAACUAUCCACAAGAAUCAAAUAUGUGCAGAGUGGCAAAAAAUUUGAAUCACCACCUGUGUAUGUUUUCAGCUGAGCAAACAAGG